rnacentral:lncRNA from 1 species
AUUACUGUUUUGUGAUUUCAGCUACCCUGUGAGCUAAAUCUGCCAGCAUUUCAGCAGGGACACUUGCACAACUUAAUAUAUGGCAUGCCAGAAAAAUCGUUGCCACAAGUCAACGUGGCUUAAAUGAAAGCAAGUUCAAGUGAAAAAGUUGACUUUAAUGGGACUAACAGCUGAGAAGACGACUCCUCAGAUGCGGAGCCACUAGGCAGAUGGAUGCUUACAUGCAUUUUAACAGACCAAUAUGCUAAUGUGGAGCUGCCAACGAACAGAACAAGACUGAAGAAUAUUUGCUGGAUUCAAGUUUUAGCUYGCUGUAUUUCCUCCCACCUACGACGACAGGGCUGUAGCUUUGAUUUGUUUGUUUUCCGUUUUAUUCGGAGACCGGUAACCGGAGGGAGAGGAAGCGGGGGACCUGCGCACGCCGAGGAAAAUCCCGGGUCCAGGAGCACAGGCAAAGCACAGGCCCCGGAGGAGAUGGGGAAAUAGCCCUUCCCGGGGACAAAAGGGACGUGCAGCUCAGAAACACCAGACUAGCCCAAAUCCUGGGGGCCAGGCACGGCGGGCGAGCCGAGGAGCUCUGCAAACCCUUUUCUGUCUCUGCUCUGUCUCGCCUGGCUUCUCAGAGCCCUUUUUUUGUUUUAGCAGGUAACUAGUCAAGUUUAUAUUUUAGCAAAAAACAGUGUUUUGCUUUUUUUUUUUAAUUUAAACACUCUGCUCUGUCUUGGAAGCUCACAGCCCGGAGAGGGUGCGGUGGGUUCAGCUCGGCUCCCUUUGGGCCAGGCUUUGCAG